rnacentral:piRNA from 1 species
UGCCACUAUCUGCCUGAAUAUCUUCUUCCCU